UCUACUUAUAAUGAUGAUCUGUUAUUUAGUUAAUGUUUGUAAACAUAUCAGUGUUGGGUUCACUAAAACACACCUUAAUAGCCGUGAUAGUAUAAAUAAGUAUAAACCUAGUUAUAUUUGUAUUUUGAGGGUAUAUUCGCUGAGUAUUGUAUCAUAAAGUUUGAUAUGGCAUAAUCGGUAGGGAGUUUGUCUCAUAUCAGCGACUAAAACAAGGUUAUAGGUUCGAACCGUACGCGCGUUACCUUCAAAGUGAACGUAACGAAGAAAAAACGGAACAGAAAUAAGUCUUUUAUAAAUUCAGAAAGUUAAUCAGAAAGUUCAGUGAGGUUUUGUGUCCGCUCUGUAUCCUUCGUUGUCGCCCAUGGUCUACGUUCGUCCUCGGUUGGAUCAUUUACACUAAGAGGAGAUAAAACCUUUGGCACAAUCUUGGUGAAACUUGUCUAGGACGUUUGGCAGAAGAAAAUAUCGGACAAGUUUGAUACUCUAUUAUCUUGGAUAAAAAGAGAGGUUACUAACUCAAAUCAUAGAAAACGAUUGUUAAUACUCUAGAGGUCGCUGCUUUAUCUGUAUGUAACCAGAAAAAAAUGUUUGUCUCUAAACAAAAUAAUCUGGGUCAAGUUAGAAACAUGGUCAUCUGGGAUCAAAAACUAGACCACUAGGUUCAAUAAUGAAAAAUUGUUUACUCUGAUCUUCAACGAACCUAGUCGGAAUAUUUAAGCUAAUUUUAAAAAUAGAUUAUAUAAAGUAAAAAACUGGGACAUUAGGUCAAAUCAUAGAGUAAACAUUAUUUACACUCUACCGGCAAAAAUUUCUUUUGUAGUUAGAAUUUCUGCCUCUUUAGCAUCUUUUACAAUUUUGUAACUGAAUUUUCCGGGAUCAAAUACUAGGUCAUUAGGUCAAAUUAUAGAAAGCUCCCGUUAUAAAAUUUGAGGUCACACUUUCUUAUUGAUUUA